AGUGAACGCUGGCGGUAGGCCUAACACAUGCAAGUCGAACGGCAGCACAGUAAGAGCUUGCUCUUACGGGUGGCGAGUGGCGGACGGGUGAGGAAUACAUCGGAAUCUACUUUUUCGUGGGGGAUAACGUAGGGAAACUUACGCUAAUACCGCAUACGACCUACGAGUGAAAGCAGGGGAUCUUCGGACCUUGCGCGAUUGAAUGAGCCGAUGUCGGAUUAGCUAGUUGGCGGGGUAAAGGCCCACCAAGGCGACGAUCCGUAGCUGGUCUGAGAGGAUGAUCAGCCACACUGGAACUGAGACACGGUCCAGACUCCUACGGGAGGCAGCCGUGGGGAAUAUUGGCCAAUGGGCGCAAGCCUGAUCCAGCCAUACCGCGUGGGUGAAGAAGGCCUUCGGGUUGUAAAGCCCUUUUGUUGGGAAAGAAAAGCAGCAGGUUAAUACCCCGCUGUUCUGACGGUACCCAAAGAAUAAGCACCGGCUAACUUCGUG
rnacentral:rRNA from 1 species